rnacentral:rRNA from 1 species
GAUGAACGCUGGCGGCGUGCCUAAUACAUGCAAGUCGAGCGAACGGACGAGAAGCUUGCUUCUCUGAUGUUAGCGGCGGACGGGUGAGUAACACGUGGAUAACCUACCUAUAAGACUGGGAUAACUUCGGGAAACCGGAGCUAAUACCGGAUAAUAUUUUGAACCGCAUGGUUCAAAAGUGAAAGACGGUCUUGCUGUCACUUAUAGAUGGAUCCGAGCUGCAUUAGCUAGUUGGUAAGGUAACGGCUUACCAAGGCAACGAUGCAUAGCCGACCUGAGAGGGUGAUCGCCCACACUGGAACUGAGACACGGUCCAGACUCCUACGGGAGGCAGCAGUAGGGAAUCUUCCGAAAUGGGCGAAAGCCUGACGGAGCAACGCCGCGUGAGUGAUGAAGGUCUUCGGAUCGUAAAACUCUGUUAUUAGGGAAGAACAUAUGUGUAAGUAACUGUGCACAUCUUGACGGUACCUAAUCAGAAAGCCACGGCUAACUACG